rnacentral:rRNA from 1 species
AGAGUUUGAUCCUGGCUCAGAGUGAACGCUGGCGGCGUGCCUAACACAUGCAAGUCGAACGAGAACGGAUUACAGCUUGCUGUAAUUGUCAGCUAAGUGGCGCACGGGUGAGUAAUAUAUAGUUAAUCUGCCUCAAAGAAGAGAAUAAUUGUUGGAAACGACUUGUAAUGCUCUAUAUGCCUUUAUCACAUAAGUGAGCAAGGGAAAUAUUUAUAGCUUUGGGAUGAGACUGUACGGUAUCAGCUAGUUGGUGAGGUAAUGGCUCACCAAGGCUAUGACAUCUAACUGGUUUGAGAGGAUGAUCAGUCACACUGGAACUGAGACACGGUCCAGACUCCUACGGGAGGCAGCAGUGGGGAAUAUUGCGCAAUGGAGGAAACUCUGAUGCAGCAACGCCGCGUGGAGGAUGACACAUUUCGGUGCGUAAACUCCUUUUAUAUGAGAAGAUAAUGACGGUAUCAUAUGAAUAAGCACCGGCUAACUCCGUGCCAGCAGCCGCGGUAAUACGGGGGGUGCAAGCGUUACUCGGAAUCACUGGGCGUAAAGAGCAUGUAGGCUGGUAAUUAAGUUGGAAGUGAAAUCCUAUGGCUCAA